rnacentral:snRNA from 1 species
GUGCUCACUUCGGCAGCACAUAUACUAAAGUUGGAACAAUACAGAGAAGGUUAGCAUGGCCCCUGUGAAAGGAUGACACACAAAUUCAUGAAGCAUUCCAUAUUUUA